UGAGUUCGAGGCCAGCCUGAUCUACAGU
rnacentral:piRNA from 1 species